rnacentral:rRNA from 1 species
UACAGAGGGGGCAAGCGUUGUUCGGAAUUACUGGGCGUAAAGGGCGCGUAGGCGGCCUGCUAAGUCGAAACGUGAAAUCCCCGAGCUCAACUCGGGAACUGCGUCCGAUACUGGCAGGCUUGAAUCCGGGAGAGGGAUGCGGAAUUCCAGGUGUAGCGGUGAAAUGCGUAGAUAUCUGGAGGAACACCGGUGGCGAAGGCGGAUCCUGGACCGG